UACGAAGGGGGCUAGCGUUGUUCGGAAUUACUGGGCGUAAAGCGCACGUAGGCGGGUUGUUAAGUCAGGGGUGAAAUCCUGGAGCUCAACUCCAGAACUGCCUUUGAUACUGGCAACCUAGAGACUGGAAGAGGUUAGUGGAAUUCCCAGUGUAGAGGUGAAAUUCGUAGAUAUUGGGAAGAACACCAGUGGCGAAGGCGGCUAACUGGACCAGCACUGACGCUGAGGUGCGAAAGCGUGGGGAGCAAACAGG
rnacentral:rRNA from 1 species